rnacentral:rRNA from 1 species
AACGUAGGUGGCAAGCGUUUAUCCGGAUUUACUGGGCGUAAAGGGUGUGCAGGCGGGGAAGCAAGUGGUGUAUGAAAUCUCCAGGCUUAACCUGGAGGGGUUAUGCCAGACUGCUUUUCUAGAGGACGAGAGAGGGGGGUGGAAUUCCGGGUGUAGUGGUGAAAUGCGUAGAGAUCCGGAGGAACCCCAGAGGCGAAGGCGGCCCCCUGGCUCGUACCUGACGCUCAGCCACGAAAGCAUGGGGGAGCGAACGGG